rnacentral:lncRNA from 1 species
CAGAACACGACCUCAUAUUUCCCUAGAGACUGGGCCCCAGCUUCUGUCCCCGUCAGUGCGCAGUGAUUGCUUCUGAAACUGGUGGGUGUGCGCAGGGGCCUUCCUGGGCAGCCAGCCAGGGGCGGCCCCUGGAGAAGCCUGCCCCCACCCUUGCCUGCACCCCCUCGCCUCUGAAGCCAGGCUCCUACAGUAGCGGGGGGAAAUGGGAAACCCUAGACACAGUAAAGUCAGGCGACAGAGAAGGGUCGGGUCUCAAACUGGGGCCUUCCGGGGAGCUGCCGGGCGGGGAGGGAGAUGGUCCCCCUCCUGGGGGCGCUCCCUUCGCGCGGAUCUGGGGUUGGAGGAAGGAGGGGCACCGCCCCCCGGGGGUUUCCUGGGACCCGGCAGCCCGUAAGAUGGAGAGGCCAGCCCCUCCCGGCGGGGGAGGGGCGCGAUCCGGUGGGCGGGGGCCGGGGCUCCCCGGCUGCGGGGGCCGGGCCCCGCGGCCGCCUGCGGCUCGGCGCGGCGCGGCGCGGCGCUCCUGCCUGGCGGGCGCUGCAUUCUCCGAGUCUCCACCAGAGGCUGCGGGAGGAAGGAAGGGAUCCGUCCCUUGCACACUUCCCCCCUAGUCAGACACGCACACUCCCUCGCUCCCGCUCGCUCACUCCCUCGCUCUCCCUCGCUCACACACACACGCGCGCACACGCCGCCGCGGCUCCCCCUCUCGCGCCCGCUCCCCCUCCGGCUCCUCCGGGCGGCCGCCGGGCUCCGGACUCGCCCGCCCGCCCGCGCCGGGGCGCCCGCCGCACGCAGCGUCCCGAGGCGGCAGGACUGGGGGGAGCCCCGGGCCGCUCCCCGAGCAGGCCUCCUCCUGCUGUCACAUUGGGAUCAUGCUGGGAGCUUCUUGCUUCCUCAUCAGACACACAAGCCUUCGGCCAUCCACUCGCUCCCGGCUCCCUCCUUUGUGUAAGAGAAAUCGCUGAUUAA